rnacentral:rRNA from 1 species
UACGGAGGGGGCUAGCGUUGUUCGGAAUUACUGGGCGUAAAGCGCGCGUAGGCGGCUUUGUAAGUCAGAGGUGAAAUCCCUGGGCUCAACCCAGGAACUGCGUCCGAUACUGGUUGGCUUGAAUCCGGGAGAGGGAUGUGGAAUUCCAGGUGUAGCGGUGAAAUGCGUAGAUAUCUGGAGGAACACCGGUGGCGAAGGCGACAUCCUGGACCGGCAUUGACGCUGAGGCGCGAAAGCCAGGGGAGCAAACGGG